CCUACGGGUGGCAGCAGUGAGGAAUAUUGGUCAAUGGACGAGAGUCUGAACCAGCCAAGUAGCGUGAAGGAUGACUGCCCUAUGGGUUGUAAACUUCUUUUAUAUGGGAAUAAAAUGUUCCACGUGUGGGUUUUUGUAUGUACCAUAUGAAUAAGGAUCGGCUAAUUCCGUGCCAGCAGCCGCGGUAAUACGGAGGAUCCGAGCGUUAUCCGGAUUUAUUGGGUUUAAAGGGAGCGUAGGUGGAUUGUUAAGCCAGUUGUGAAAGGCUGCGGCUCAACCGUAAAAUUGCAGUGGAAACUGGCAGUCUUGAGUACAGUAGAGGUAGGCGGAAUUCGUGGUGUAGCGGUGAAAUGCUUAGAUAUCACGAAGAACUCCGAUUGCGAAGGCAGCGCACUGUACUGCAACUGACACUGAGGCUCGAAAGUGUGGGUAUCAAACAGGAGUAGAUACCCCAGUAGUC
rnacentral:rRNA from 1 species